AGAGUUUGAUCCUGGCUCAGGACGAACGCUGGCGGCGUGCUUAACACAUGCAAGUCGUACGAGAAAGCCCGCUUCGGUGGGUGAGUAAAGUGGCGCACGGGUGAGUAACACGUGGGUAACCUACCUUCCAGAGGGGGAUAACACACCGAAAGGUGUGCUAAUACCGCAUAACACUGCAAUGUUUAUUAUUUUGUAGUCAAAGGUGGCUUCGGCUACCACUGGGAGAUGGGCCCGCGGACCAUUAGCCAGUUGGUGAGGUAACGGCUCACCAAAGCUACGAUGGUUAGCUGGUCUGAGAGGACGGCCAGUCACACUGGAACUGGAACACGGUCCAGACUCCUACGGGGGGCAGCAGUGGGGAAUCUUGCGCAAUGGGGGAAACCCUGACGCAGCAACGCCGCGUGAGUGAAGAAGGCCUUCGGGUUGUAAAGCUCUGUCAGAGUUGAAGAAACAGUUAUGGGUUAAUACCCCAUAGCCCUGACGGUAAACUCAGAGGAAGCACCGGCUAACUCCGUGCCAGCAGCCGCGGUAAUACGGAGGGUGCAAGCGUUGUUCGGAAUUAUUGGGCGUAAAGAGCGUGUAGGCGGUUGGGUAAGUCAGGUGUGAAAUCCCGGGGCUUAACUCCGGAACUGCGCCUGAAACUGCCCGGCUAGAGUACNGGGANANGUAGGUGGNAUUCCUGGUG
rnacentral:rRNA from 1 species